GACGAACGCUGGCGGCGUGCUUAACACAUGCAAGUCGAACGCUGAAGCCCAGCUUGCUGGGUGGAUGAGUGGCGAACGGGUGAGUAACACGUGAGUAACCUGCCCCCUUCUUUGGGAUAACGCCCGGAAACGGGUGCUAAUACUGGAUAUUCACUGGCUUUCGCAUGGGGGUUGGUGGAAAGGUUUUUUCUGGUGGGGGAUGGGCUCGCGGCCUAUCAGCUUGUUGGUGGGGUGAUGGCCUACCAAGGCUUUGACGGGUAGCCGGCCUGAGAGGGUGACCGGUCACAUUGGGACUGAGAUACGGCCCAGACUCCUACGGGAGGCAGCAGUGGGGAAUAUUGCACAAUGGGCGAAAGCCUGAUGCAGCGACGCCGCGUGAGGGAUGACGGCCUUCGGGUUGUAAACCUCUUUCGCUCAUGGUCAAGCCGCAGCUUUGGGUUGUGGUGAGGGUAGUGGGUAAAGAAGCGCCGGCUAACUACGUGCCAGCAGCCGCGGUAAUACGUAGGGCGCGAGCGUUGUCCGGAAUUAUUGGGCGUAAAGGGCUUGUAGGCGGUUGGUCGCGUCUGCCGUGAAAUCCUCUGGCUUAACUGGGGGCGUGCGGUGGGUACGGGCUGACUUGAGUGCGGUAGGGGAGACUGGAACUCCUGGUGUAGCGGUGGAAUGCGCAGAUAUCAGGAAGAACACCGGUGGCGAAGCGGGUCUCUGGGCCGUUACUGACGCUGAGGAGCGAAAGCGUGGGGAGCGAACACG
rnacentral:rRNA from 1 species